CCGCACACACCCCGCACACCCCGCACACCCCGCACCCGCAACAGUGAAUGCUGCCGAGCGGCUGCUUGGAACUACGUGAAUAAGUGUAAAUGUACACACGGGAUUAGGCAAAGUGCUGUGAAGGUUGCGAUAUGUAUUUUAUACAUUAAUUAAAACAUACUGUAAGUACUAAAUUAUUUUAAUAUGUUUGAAGACACUCCCUCGCUAAGAUAUAAAUGUAACGUAGAUUAGCUGAUAAUGUGUAAUUUUGAUGUGUUGUACAAGAAUGUGUGUCAGAUAUAAGUGUUGGAGGAACUUUUAGUGGAAAUGAAUCAGAUCACGAUUAUUAAAAAAAAACAGGUGAUAGUAUCGUAAUAAAGUCCUUCAGUUUCAUCCCAAUCAAUGUCUAGUUCUAUAAGCACAAUUUAUGUAAAUAAGUUCCACUAAAAGAUCUUUUAAUUAUUAUUGGAGGUCGACUCCAAAUUAUGGUAACAUAUUCUCGUAAAAAUUCCACCCAAUAGAGGUCACGAAGGUUAUGUCGGUACUAUGGUACUGUCUAGUCAAAGUAUUGUUUGUAAUAUUGUUUGUAUCAUAUUAUAGUAUUUGCACUUUAAUUAUUCAAAGGGGACUGAUUUAAUAUUCAAAUAAUCAUGCACUACCGGUUGUAAAGAUGUUUAUAAAAAUCGCUCAAAUUAUGAAAUUUAAUUCCUUCGUAAAAUACCACAAGUUACAAGUAUUACAUUUUAGAAGUACUUGUGUGUGUAUGUUAUUUGUGUAAAUUAAGUGUAGGUAGACUGAAAUGCAAUUACCUUUCUGUCCAGUCACCUUUAAUGGAGUAUUAAAUGUAAUUUCCAGUGUUGUGUCAAAACUUAAUAGCAGCUUUUCGAGUGAGUUCAUAAAUUCUUACGACAUUUACAUCUAAGUAUGACAACAUUAAACCCAAACCACCAACCAGUGCAUUUUGUUACUAUGUUUAAAAUCUGGUUUUCGACUUUGAGUUUUACACUUUAAUAUGUUUAGCCUAUGUAAGGAAAAGUUGUAAACCAACUAACAGGUUGUGUGCUAUCGUAAAACUAAGAUUAUCUCUCAACGGGUACGCGCAAAACUAAAACCAUACCAGUCUCAAGACGCAUAGACUCUUCUUUCCUAUUUUAUGAGACCACCUUUUUGGAACCUUUUUGAUUAUAUACACAUAAGCGUGUUGCAUCUAGACGCUUCUAUUUAAGUUUCAACGAGUUUGUGUUAAACAUGACAAAUAGUCUGAUAUACGCCAUGAAUCUCAAGUAAAUUAAAUGCAAAUUUUCUAUAUCGUCGUUGUAAAUUUAUAAAAUUCUAGCGUAAAAUUGCUUAUACAUGUUCCAAGACGGUGUUUAAGAUACUAUGAAAUGCAGGUGCAUAUUCGACGCGAAAGAUUUGCAAUUAUAUUUUUUUCUGUAUUUCGACAACUUAGGAAGUAAGAUUGAGCAUUUUAUAAAAAUGAGACUUUAAUUUCAACUACCACGUUUAUAAAGUCCUUUGUUUAAUCUUAUGCAAUACUAGUUUUAAGUGUUAAAUUGUUUUUACCAUAUAUUUAUGUUCUAUCAGAAAUUAUGUGAGAAUUAGGUGUGUAUUAAUGAGAUUCAGAUGCAAGUCAUUUGAUUUCUGCCAAAGCGAAGGAACUUGAUUUCUUUUUGGUGUUUCCAUUAAAGUCUUCCUUUUACUAAAAAUGUAUUAAUUUCUUAUGGAGACAACAUAAAUAGAUUGUACAACUGUUUACUAGUCUUUUAAGAGUAGUAAGGACUGAAUUGUUUGCAGUUGUAUUUUUUCUGUAAUUUAUAUAAAUAAAAACUAAGGUAUUAAAAUCUCAAUUGUUUUUGUUUAUUACUUGUACUAUUAUUUUUGACAAUGUAAAUAGGUAUUUGUAACUUUAAGGUAUAAAUUGUAUUAUAACAAAAUAUAAAUACCUAAAACAGAA